AGCCCCUGGAGGAGGGGGGAGGAGAGGAGGAUGGGUGCAGUGCAAAAAGAGCGUGAGGCUUAGCUUGUAACCAGGGAGCCUUUUUCUGUCUUCAGGAAAGAAACCCCAGGAAAGCAGGAUGGAGGCAGGUUUCAGCCAGGGCUGCCCUCUGAAGAGCUCCUGAGAACCACAUGUAGGACGAUGAUAGAACAGGCUGGUCCCCUUUCAGGUCUGUGUGGCAUUGUGAUGAUGUCUACAGAACAUCUGGGUUCGGCAUGGAGCAGCCUCUGCUUCGCCGAAAAAUCACAGAAGAAAGGUGGGAGGCUCACAGCCUACAAGAACAACAGGAAGAGCCAGACCUCACUAAUCGGGAAUUUGCAAGAACAUUGACACUGCCUUGAUCCCAAUGAGUAAAAGUUAAAAACUUCUCACUCUCUUUUUAGGUUCUUAUUCAUGAGGGAGAACUAUAGUAAGAAUACACCUUACAUCUGGAUAGCACUUUAGACCUCCUAAAUUCUUUUGUGGAAAUUAUCUAAUUUGAUAUUUGCAAUAACCUUGAGAGGUAGGAAAGAGAUAAGGUCCUCUGGUCAGUCAGCUGCUUCCUGGCUGCCAUCAAAACAAUGGAGGGGUUUCUGAUUCCUAUAGGAGGAGGUCACUGUGAUUAGGCCAGUGCACAGCGCUGUGGAUGCCUGACCCAACAAAGGAAAUGCAGUCUGCUUGGGAGAUCACUCAAUAUCUCCACCUCUCUUCCAGGGGAAGAGAAAUCACCAGCUACCACAGAUCGAGGAAAAAAAAUCCCUUAGAAAAAUAUGCUCCCAAAUGGAAUAAGAUUGAGAGUCUAGAAAUAAACCCUUACAUUUA